rnacentral:misc_RNA from 1 species
GAAAUGCGAUACGUAAUGUGAAUUGCAGACUCCGUGAAUCAUCAAAUCUUUGAACGCAAAUUGCACUCGUGGGCUUGCCCAUGAGUACGCCUCUCUGAGUAUCUGUUUACACCCUCAACUAUUUUAGUUGGAUAAUGGGCUUGUCCACUGACUUUGACUUUAUUCAAGUUAGUGGUCGCCUCAAGAGCGCUCCUUUUCGAGAUUUCUCAGGUUUUGAUUGCCUGUUGUUUGCCCUCGACGUGGAUAAUCCACUGCUAUGCAAGUAGCAGAAACGUCAAGCGAUGAACAAUGUAAGCAAUACAACUCACUAGUAGAAACGAGCAAUCAGUAUAUGAAACAGCAUACACCACACAUAACUAGAUCUCAGAUGAAGCGAGAAAACCCGCUGAAUUUAA